rnacentral:rRNA from 1 species
UUUGAGGGGUUAAGGCUCCCAGUAGACGACUGGGUUGAUAGGCCAGAUAUGGAAGCACUGUAAGGUGUGGAGUUGACUGGUACUAAUAGGCCGAGGGCUUGUCCUC